UAUGCACCCAAACCCAAAGCUCAUAUCUGGCGGUGGUAUGAUUUUGUCUGGUGUGCAAACAGAAAUCUGAUCCUUGUCGCCUUUCUCUGCCGCCGCAGUGCCUCUGAAAGUGAAUUCAAGGGUCAACAAAC
ensembl:snoRNA